UGCAGCAUCACAGCAGUGUGCAGGAUACCAGGGAUAUGUCAUUGCCAGCUUUUGGGGUGUGUGGGUCUCUAAUUAGCAGGGUGGUGUGCAGGCUACCUGGGAUGUGUUAUUGCCAGCUCCACCAUUGGGGUGUGUGGGUCCUUGUCUAGCAGGUCCCUGAGCUGGAAGGCAAGCUGUUCUAGUACCGUGGUGUCAGGAGCACAGAGUGUGGAUUGGUUGUGAUUACUUACCUCACUGUGUGCGUGCGUGUGUGUGUGGUGUAGGAAGAAUUAGUUUACAGCUAGCCUACCCAGCUCCGGGUAAACCUUGGUGGCCUCAUAAUUAGUGGGGUAUUACGCUGUUUAGUUCAUCUAAGCUAUAUUUUAUUUGUUCUUUUAAUUGUGUACCUGGUCAAUGUACACACUUGUACCCGGGCCAGGGGUAGCUC